GCGCUUGCUUUGGCACCACAUAUACUAAAAUUGGAAUGAUACAGAGAAGAUUAGCAUCGCACCAUGCAUCCUUCUGGAUGACAUGCAAAUUUAUGGUGUUCCAUAUAUUUUU